GACGAACGCUGGCGGCGUGCCUAAUACAUGCAAGUUGAGCGAUGAAGAUUGGUGCUUGCACCAAUUUGAAGAGCAGCGAACGGGUGAGUAACGCGUGGGGAAUCUGCCUUUGAGCGGGGGACAACAUUUGGAAACGAAUGCUAAUACCGCAUAACAACUUUAAACAUAAGUUUUAAGUUUGAAAGAUGCAAUUGCAUCACUCAAAGAUGAUCCCGCGUUGUAUUAGCUAGUUGGUGAGGUAAAGGCUCACCAAGGCGAUGAUACAUAGCCGACCUGAGAGGGUGAUCGGCCACAUUGGGACUGAGACACGGCCCAAACUCCUACGGGAGGCAGCAGUAGGGAAUCUUCGGCAAUGGACGAAAGUCUGACCGAGCAACGCCGCGUGAGUGAAGAAGGGUUUCGGAUCGUAAAACUCUGUUGGUAGAGAAGAACGUUGGUGAGAGUGGAGAGCUCAUCAAGUGACGGUAACUACCCAGAAAGGGACGGCUAACUACGUG
rnacentral:rRNA from 1 species